rnacentral:rRNA from 1 species
CCUACGGGAUGCAGCAGUGGGGAAUACUGCACAAUGGGCGCAGGCCUGAUGCAGCCAUGCCGCGUGUAUGAAGAAGGCCUUCGGGUUGUAAAGUACUUUCAGCGAGGAGGAAGGCGUUAAGGUUAAUAACCUUGGCGAUUGACGUUACUCGCAGAAGAAGCACCGGCUAACUCCGUGCCAGCAGCCGCGGUAAUACGGAGGGUGCAAGCGUUAAUCGGAAUUACUGGGCGUAAAGUACACGCAGGCGGUCUGUUAAGUCGGAUGUGAAAUCCCCGGGCUCAACCUGGGAACUGCAUUCGAAACUGGCAGGCUUGAGUCUUGUAGAGGGGGGUAGAAUUCCAGGUGUAGCGGUGAAAUGCGUAGAGAUCUGGAGGAAUACCGGUGGCGAAGGCGGCCCCCUGGACAAAGACUGACGCUCAGGUGCGAAAGCGUGGGGAGCAAACAGGAUUAGAUACCCGUGUAGUC